AUGUUAAAACAGAAUCCUUGAAAGAAACAGUGGAUGCUUCCAGACUUCUAUUUUUUUUUUGAAAGAAUACAAGCUACAAUUUUUUAAACAUCAGUAUAAUACUCCAUAUAUUAAACCAUCUGAAAUAAGAGUUCUCAUUACUUAUGAACAUCUAAAGACUAGAAAACUUUCAUCUUUAUUUCCAUUUUGGUCCUAAAAAGCAUUCUAAAGUAAAAUUCAAGGACCCAGGGCAACUUGAUCGCCUGCAGGUAUGAAUCUGUACAGUAGAGAGAAACCUCCAGGUUGUACACCUAUUGACAUUGCUUAAUAAAAACAUCUAGGAAAA